GACGAACGCUGGCGGAGCGCCUAACACAUGCAAGUCGAACGGAGUUACUCUGAAUGAAGUUUUCGGAUGGAUUUUGGAUUAACUUAGUGGCGAACGGGUGAGUAACGCGUGAGUAACCUGCCCUGGAGUGGGGGACAACAGUUGGAAACGACUGCUAAUACCGCAUAAGCCCACAGUGCCGCAUGGCACAGCGGGAAAAGGAUUUAUUCGCUUCAGGAUGGACUCGCGUCCAAUUAGCUAGUUGGUGAGGUAACGGCCCACCAAGGCGACGAUUGGUAGCCGGACUGAGAGGUUGAACGGGCCACAUUGGGACUGAGACACGGCCCAGACUCCUACGGGAGGCAGCAGUGGGGGAUAUUGCACAAUGGGGGAAACCCUGGAUGCAGCGACGCCGCGUGGAGGGAAGAAGGGUUUUCGGAUUGUAAACUCCUGUCGUUAGGGACGAUAAUGACGGGUACCUAACAAGAAAGCACCGGCUAAACUACGUGCCAGCAGCCGCAAGUAAA
rnacentral:rRNA from 1 species